UUAAAAACUUUUACCCCUGAAUUCGCUCGGGUGUUGAGGGGGUACGCGCACCAGAAAGGGAGUUUGCUUGAGAGAUUUGUUCCUCUUCUGGGUGCACUAAAACACACAUCCCUGAAUGGCGCAUCGGGAUAGACUUUUGCGGGGAGAAGCUGAGAAUAACACAGCGCCUGAGCAGAGAGAGUCGCGGUAGCCCUUCUGGGUCUGAAAAUGCUGGGUUUCUCUGGACUUUUAGGCAGCCGGGUCCUACUAGCAGGGUUCGGUAAGGGCCGAAAGGGGGUGCACCUCGCAGAUCGCUUUUCUCUCUCCAGACCCCAACACACCACGUGAGGCCACAAUCCCCUCUCCCCGCUACUCCGGGUUGUAAAAAAGGAGGAGGGGCCGCAGCGAGGAGAAAAGGGAGUCGAGAGGAGGGAGACGACUAAGGCGGGAGGAAGGGCAGACCCCUCCUCCGAGAGCGGCGGGAGCAGGGGACCCUGGCCCCGGACUACCUCGCCCGCGCGCACGGCCCAGAGUACAGGGUAGCUUUAGUGAGGUUAUAAGAAAACUAAGCGUUGGGGGUGAAUGGUUAUACAAGUACCUCGAGCCCGAGUGCCUAGGAACACUCUGUACGGGUUAAAGCGAGGUUUCAGUGGCCCUGUUUUCCCAUCUUAGUUGCAGAAGCAAUACUUUGAUCCUCUGUUUGGAAUCUGGGAAGAAAAGUUUUAAUGCGUGUUAGAAAACAGGGCAUUUGCUAGUUAAAGAGUUUUCAAAAACACAAAGAGAGGUAAUUUUAGUUCUCGGGUAGCGUUUUCUGAUUGGCAAGCGUCCUUUUGUUCCGUCACAUCUUCGCCCCGCUCCAGGCACUGGACGCCAGCGCGCGCUCUCGGGUUCCUCCAGGCGAGAUCGGAAGUUACCGCGCGCGGGCGGGGGUCCCGGCGCCUCUCCCCUCUCGCGGGGCAGCCGGGAACAUCAGGCAUCCCCACGCAGGAAAGUGACAUGUUGAGAAAGGAAAGAUCUGCCACUCUCUGUCGCACACGCACACGCAGUCACAGAGCAAUCCUAUACUUUAACAAACGUUCCUCCUGGCCGAGCCCUUCCUCCUGGCGCUGGAGCCCUGAGGGGUUUCUGAUCGGGUUUCGUGUUUGCAGAAGUUGCUGCCUCUGCUGCCCCCGUUCUUUGUCGUUCCCCACUCCUGUUAAUGCGACUGGAGGGCUGAAUCACUUGGGCCAACGUAAGGCACCAGACGCUCGCAUUUUUCCAUCGGACCCUCAACAGGAAUCCUCAUCGUUUUCUUCCAAAGCAUCCGUCUCCCCCUCACAUCCACGACGGCAUGUUUAAUUUACUUGGGCGUUUCUGCCUCAAGGCAAUAACCAUGGAAGAGGAGACCUGUGGACAAGAAACAGAGUGAAAAAGUGCAAAGGCUCCUAGACAGGGAGCCCGGUGUCCUGGGUUCUAAACUGGACUCUCACCAACCAAUGUUAUGAUUCUGAUCAAGUCACUUCACUUCUCUGGGUCAGAUUGUCUGCAAAGCAAAAGAGUUGGACUAAAUUUUGAAGAAUUCUUUUAGUUGGGAAGUUCUUUUUCUCUAUUUUGUUACCCCAGUUAAAUUACCUGGACUUUUUCUAAGGGGUGUGGCUGGAGUUAGAACACUUCCCUUGCAAGCAACAGAAACCAACGCUAGUUAAUUUAAGCGCAUAAGAUAUUUACUGUACGAAUAUAAAGGCAGGUCAAGGAACUAAAGGGAAAGCAGAAUAUACAGGCUCAGAGAGGACAGGAGCCAGGGCAGGCCCUGGGAUUGAGGCAUCAGGAUCUAAGAAAUAAUCUCCUCAGGAUACCACAGUCUCAGUAGAACGUGGAUCGUUCUCAAGAACAUUCAGUAUUGUAAUUCUGAUGUUCUCUUUCUAGCCUACCUUAGGUUUGUGGAACCACUAUGACUGUAUCUAAUAGGGAGGGAUUGUUCCCAAAGCCAAAGGAGGGACUAUUACUAGAAACAGGUGGAAUGGAUACCAGGUAGAUGACCAUGAUAGAGUGAAGGACUGUAGUUGUCUCAGCACUAGACAUUGUAGCAUGAGGAGCCAAUGAAUGAUCCAGAGAAUUCAAAAUGCUUCUUGAGUCAGUUGCUCAUUUGGUUUCUCAGCAAGUACUUACUGAAUUUGUGAAUGGCAUUUUGGAGAACACCAAAGAAAUCUAUAUUAUAAAAAGCCAGUGGCCGUAACGCCGUGACAACCAAACGACCAGUCACCAGGAGGUGCAUUGAUGGGUCUCGCUGCACGGCAGGUCUCGGUCUCUCGGCGUGGUGGGAGUCAGUCUGGGUCCCUGCCAGAGCGGCGGGUCUGGGUCUCACGCGAUUUCAUGUGCUGGGCCUCUAGUAUAAUAAUGAUCUGUAAGACUGGUGGGAAAGGUGUUUGGAUUUUACUCAAGAUGACCUGGGAACAGAAUUAUAUUCCCUUUUAAUUUGAGUCAUUAAGAUAUAUCUGGGCAUAUGUAACUGCAGCUCAUUACAGGAGAUGUUAAGUAACUCCCUAAUUAUAUGUAUUACACUGUAGGCAGAGGAUCCUGAGACAAGUGGCUUAUCUCACAUGUCAAGGGGCAGAGCUAAAAGCAGGACUUGACUUCCCGACUUGAAUAACUGUUCUGGACCUGCUGCCUAGCAACCAUGGCCCCCAUUCAGGAGCAGCUACCAUGAGAGGAGCCCUGGCUCGCCCCCUACACCACGAACUUCUCAAGGGCAAGAACUGGGUGUUGUUCCUCUGUGUUUCCCCAGAGCUUCACGUGGCACUGGACACGCAGAAGGCAGCUAGAUAUCCAGUGAGGAGUCUGCUCUCCAGCUUCCGUGCUCAAAGCUGAGCCUGUUUAUCUCCGCUUUAGAUGCUAGCUUGAGCUGAAGAGGAUGGAAAACAUCCUUUGCUACUCUCAGGAAAGCCUGGUCCAAGGGCACAGGAAGAAGGACUUACUUCAGAGCGGAGGAACUUCAGAGACUUCUAACAGGAGGCCGAGCUGUAAGCUUGGUGGUAUUUGCAUUAGAUGGCUUAUCCGUCUCUGUGUGCAUGUGCAUGAUUACUUCCGGCAAAUAAUGAAAAAAUAUGACCUCACAAAGAAAACCAGUGAGUGUAAUCACCGCCAUUCAUCGCUCUCCUUUUUAUGGGAAAAAGCUGGCCUGCGCCUCAAACUUUGCUCAGAAGGAAAUGUUUAUAGAAAUUUGUUCUCUAUCAAGUACUUGUGCAUGUGUGUGUUCUUUGUUUGGGGAAACUUACCAACUCGCUUGACUUACCUUUGAAGGCUCCCUGCCAGGCCUUUACCCAGCUGUCUGUAAUUCCACGGUGGCCCUGGGCUCACCCGAGGUCACCUCUCCCCGACCAGAGCACAGUAGUGUGAGCCUCAGCUGGAUCCUGGAAGGGUAGAUCUCAUAGGUCAUA